rnacentral:rRNA from 1 species
AUUGAACGCUGGCGGCAUGUCUUACACAUGCAAGUCGAACGGUAACGGGUCCUUCGGGAUGCCGACGAGUGGCGAACGGGUGAGUAAUAUAUCGGAACGUGCCCAGUAGUGGGGGAUAACUGCUCGAAAGAGCAGCUAAUACCGCAUACGACCUGAGGGUGAAAGGGGGGGAUCGCAAGACCUCUCGCUAUUGGAGCGGCCGAUAUCAGAUUAGCUAGUUGGUGGGGUAAAGGCCUACCAAGGCAACGAUCUGUAGUUGGUCUGAGAGGACGACCAGCCACACUGGGACUGAGACACGGCCCAGACUCCUACGGGAGGCAGCAGUGGGGAAUUUUGGACAAUGGGCGCAAGCCUGAUCCAGCAAUGCCGCGUGCAGGAAGAAGGCCUUCGGGUUGUAAACUGCUUUUGUCAGGGAAGAAAUCUUCUGGGCUAAUACCCCGGGAGGAUGACGGUACCUGAAGAAUAAGCACCGGCUAACUACGUG